rnacentral:rRNA from 1 species
GACGAACCGUGCAAACGUUGUUCGGAAUCACUGGGCUUAAAGGGCGCGUAGGCGGCCUGCUAAGUCGGACGUGAAAUCCCUCGGCUCAACCGGGGAACUGCGUCCGAUACUGGUGGGCUCGAAUCCGGGAGAGGGAUGUGGAAUUCCAGGUGUAGCGGUGAAAUGCGUAGAUAUCUGGAGGAACACCGGUGGCGAAGGCGGCAUCCUGGACCGGUAUUGACGCUGAUGCGCGAAAGCCGGGGAGCAAACGGG